AGCAGCCAUUACUGCAGUCUUCAGUGUCACAAUGAUCCUUAAUAUGCUGAUUUGGUGCUCAAGCAACAUUUCUUAUUACUAUCAAUGUUGAAAAUAAUUGAUUUUUUUGUGUGACUUUUACAUAGUUACAAAAGAAUUGUCACUUUUGAUGGAUUUAAUGUCAUUGUUGUUGAAUAAAAGUAUUAUUUUCUUUCAAAAAAAACUUUACUGACCACAAACUUUUGCUUGGUAGUGUGUAUAUAUAAUAGAAAAAAAAAAAAUCAGAUCGUGAAGUGCCAUGUCCUAUACUUUUUGAGCUGUGGUGCUUAUGUGGAUGAUUCAAGUUUGAACCCGGCUUGCGUCAUUUGCUGAUCAUUUCCCACUCUUUUUGUUUAUUGUCGAUAUAAUUAAACUGGUUCUAAAGACUGUCAUCAUAAAUUAUGUAUACAAUCAAACAGCUACUAGCAUUGACUUGCAUUGACUUUAGACGAUUUGGCUUGACUAGGAUGUUGUUCUCAUUGCUAUCUGAUGAAAUAUCUGUUGUCUAAAGUUGCUACUUUAAAUACCAGCUGGCCUGUAUCAGAAUCCGACUGUUUGACUCUUUCAGCUCAACUAAAGAGCAGCUUGUCUCUGUCCCCCUCUCCAUGCUUGGCAGCAUUCACAGGCCGGGCAAGAGAAGAGAUAGAAAGCUGCCAAAUGUGUUUGAGGUGUAGGGUGAUUUGCAUAGGUGAGCACACGUCAGGGCCUCCCAGCAUAAACAGGGCACUGUGAACCUCCUCUGCUCACCACUAGUAAAUCAACACAGAUACAUAUACAAGCACUCCUCAGAGCAUAUCCUGUAUGCUGGGAUCUGGGGUUAGAAUCGCUCUUUCUGUCGUUCUAGUGGCUACUCGCACACACACAGACUUGUUCUCACACAAAUAUCCCUUUAUUUCACAUACUAGACAAAUUUAUUUAUCAUGUAAGAUGAUCGUCUAACACGGCUCUAGCUUAACUAAUAACUUGAACUUUAAAAGUUUAAAUAAUGCUGAUUUUGUUUUAUGUCCAAAAAUGUGUAGUUCUAGGCAAUACAGAACUCUAGAUUAGAGCAUUUUCCUAUCUUUAACCACAUUAUCCAUUCACUGUCUAAAUUGUUUGACUUUUUUUUUCCCAAUACAAUCCUGAUUUCUUGUACUCAAGAUUUGAAAAAUGUCCAUAGUAGUCAACUAAACAACUUCAGACACAACUAAGAGAUAUAGACCAACCCACGAGGACACACUACAUCACUCUCUAGUACCGUCAGCUGAAACUGAGCUUCACAUGUGGUCAUAAUUGAUCAUCUAUUAACCGAGUCUUUACAUAACUAUCUCAGAUCUCUGUUCGGUGCCACAUUUGGAAAUCUGCCACUUCCACUCAAGUCACCUGAGAAGCCCCAGGGGUCUAGUUAACUGGUUUGUCAUUCACUCCCACCUGGAGUCUCUUUUAAAAUACCAGGCAUUGCUUAAAAGGGUAGUUUACCCGCCAAAAGUCCUCAUUCUGGCAUUAUGUGAGAUAAAAAAACUGUUUUGACAGUUUUUUUGUGAGAUGUUGAAACAAAAUGUACUUUAAUCAUUCGUUUUCGUCGAUGCAAUGCUAUCAUUCUGCCUAUCACAAAACAUAAUGAGUAAGUAGGCUAGCCUAAAUGAUGACGGUUUUUAUUUUCGGGUUAACUAUUCCUUAAAGUAGCCUACAGGAUAAAAUAUAUGCCUAUCUGGGGAUCACAAUGUUUAUGAAAUGGAUAAAAAAAUGUAUUAAGCGAAUAAGUGUUGUCAUUACGUUUUCUUCGUAUAUGUUGCUGAGCAACGGUCUUUGAAAUUGAGCAACGGACACGAUGACAUCGUCAGGCCAAAUCUGCACUAACAGAGCAACCACUAGGGGACACCAACACCUAAUGUAGGCCUACAAACUUCCUCACGUUCAGAAAUAAGAUACAGAUACUGAUAUUAUGCGGUUUAAGAGUGUAUUUUAUUAAAAUAAUGCAAGUACGAAAGGUAUACGUGCGUCAUUCCGUCAAAUUCGCGCUCACAGAUCUUUCAACAGAGAACCGCCGCGAAGUUGAGUCUUUGGGUCAUGGAUUGGUGAGCUACAGGUCAGGAGACAAACGGCACCUUGAUUGACAGGAAAGAGAGAAACUUUAAUGCCGGUAGUGACCUGACCUGAGUGACAAGGAACAGCUGAGUGUGUGUACACACACACAUCUGGAGACCCGCAGGGUUUCACACUAGACAUCCUUAUGCUGUAACCCACCGUCCGUCUUUACGCAGUAGUUGCAGAAACAUGCCCCCAAAGCUGCAGGGUUCCCCACGGAGCCAACCUUUAUGCUGCUAAAGUCAGAGGUCGUUGGUCCCAGAGGGAAACAGUGGCGACACCCCAGUGGCUGAGGAGACUGAGGCGUUCAGUAGACUAAUGGGGUCUGACUUCAUCAUUAAGAAGGAUUGUCUUUUACUGAUGCCCCCCAUUUGUUUUGGGAUAUGGAUUUCACAUGCACUUGUCCGAACAACAAAUAGACGCCACUGUUUACCGUGACAACAGAUCUUGCCCCAGCUAGUCAUUGGCUUUACCAGAGAUGACCCUAAUGCUAAGUCCAUCCAAGCCUAAAGAGGAACAAGUGUUUUUAAGAUGAUUGACAUGAACUCCAGUGAUCUGCUAGAAAGAAUGAGGCCCUUGAAAAGUAAAGGGAUGAUUGGGAGUGUGGGGGACUUUUCCAAGACUACACAAACAUAGAUUCAUAUCCUUCGUGCCUCUCCAUGAUUUUCUGCUUAUGAGAGAGAACAAUAUGAUGAUCAGACAUGUAAAAUAAAAAAAACCUGCAUUGA